AUCACCGGUCACCCAGACAGCUCACACCUCAGCCACACCUACUCCCGUAGUCAUUUUGGAUCUUUUGGUAUUAAAUCUGUGACUCUUUAUGGGGGCGUUGAAUCCAUCACAAAGAAACUCAGCUCAAAUAUGACAGCAGUCCUUACAGCAUCAGUCACAACAUUCCCCAGAAGAAGACUCGUGGCGACUUUGGUGAUCAGACUUUUUCUCCAGAGCGACGAACCUGACUCGUUUCACUCAGGAUGAAUUCUAAUAACUGGGACCAUCAUCGGGCUGUACUCUUCCAGUUUAUGACCAAAUACCUGCAAAGUUUCAUUUGAGUUUGUUGCACAUAAAAAUGUAUCCACCAAAGAGACAGGAUGACAAACAGUUCAAGAACACAAGAUGCCGCAGUCAGACAUCAAAAACCCAGAAAAGUUUCACUUGUGAAUUAUUUGUCUUGGUUUCAGUCCUACUGCUGAGGAUUGCGUGCACCUCCGGUGUGACGUGCUCGAUGAAUAUGUAGAAACUGAGCGUCCCUCUUUAUCGAUCAGCCGAGCAGAGAGCUCACAUCUCCGGCCGCGAAAAUCACCAGCGACAAGGCCGAGCCGCCCACCGCUCCGAUCCAUCACUGCUCAUUUUAUGGCUCCCACCUCCAGAUCAAUACAGCCGGCGAGUGUGUAUACUUCCAUAAACUGUAUGUGAUCAGUUAAAAGUUUUCAUUCCACGUAGAGCUGUUAUGGAGGGAGAAACUAUCCAUGAAGAAACUGCAGUUAUUAGUUUGUUUCUUUUUCAUUGUCGGUCUCACCCCAAAUGGUUUCACCUCCACUUUUUUAUGUAACGCUAGUUUCCUGUGCAUUUCUUUUUUUUGUAGCAUUCUAGGCGUGUUUCCAUUGUUUCUUAAGUCUCGGGUCAUUUGGCAUUUGGGGGCUGAGUUAGAGGAUCGAAGCAGGAAUUUAGCUUUAUCUGUAUCUGCUGAUACACCACGGUCCGACUGAAGUACAUCUGAAAACUCUAAAACGUGCAGCUCUGCUAAAACUUUUAAAUUUUUAACAAAGACGAAAACUACACAUCAGCGAUGUUUGGAGGGUUA